AUACUCUUAAAGUACAGAAUUUCAAAAUGCAAGACACAAAAAUUCACAAUACAAGACACAUACACAUACUUUACAUUUAAAAAAAAAAU